AACGAACGCUGGCGGCAUGCCUAACACAUGCAAGUCGAACGAGACCUUCGGGUCUAGUGGCGCACGGGUGCGUAACGCGUGGGAACCUGCCUUUAGGUUCGGAAUAACUCAGAGAAAUUUGAGCUAAUACCGGAUGAUGUCUUCGGACCAAAGAUUUAUCGCCUUUAGAUGGGCCCGCGUUGGAUUAGCUAGUUGGUGGGGUAAAGGCCUACCAAGGCGACGAUCCAUAGCUGGUCUGAGAGGAUGAUCAGCCACACUGGGACUGAGACACGGCCCAGACUCCUGCGGGAGGCAGCAGGGGGGAAUAUUGAAAAAUGAGCGAAAGCCUGACCCAGCAAGGCCGCGGGAGUGAUGAAGGCCUUAGGGUUGUAAAGCUCUUUUACCCGAGAUGAUAAUGACAGUAUCGGGGAAAUAAACCCCGGCUAACCCCGU
rnacentral:rRNA from 1 species